rnacentral:rRNA from 1 species
CAGCAGCCGCGGUAAAACAGAGGGUGCGAGCGUUAAUCGGAUUUACUGGGCGUAAAGCGUGCGUAGGCGGCUAAUUGAGUCGGAUGUGAAAUCCCCGAGCUUAACUUGGGAAUUGCAUUCGAUACUGGUUAGCUAGAGUGUGGGAGAGGAUGGUAGAAUUCCAGGUGUAGCGGUGAAAUGCGUAGAGAUCUGGAGGAAUACCGAUGGCGAAGGCAGCCAUCUGGCCUAACACUGACGCUGAGGUACGAAAGCAUGGGGAGCAAACAGGAUUAGAUACCCCGGUAGUCCCUGUCUCUUAUAC